rnacentral:misc_RNA from 1 species
GUCAAUUCUAUCCUUCAAACUAUCCAAAUUUGUAGGUCUUUGAGUAAAUUCAGGACACUUUUCCGUCUCUACAGAGAUAUCUUCUAAUUUCAUAAUAACUUCUGGGAUCUUCUUUCUAAGAAAAUCAAAUUCCCCCUGAUCCUUCUUAUGCUGCACAACAGACCCCCUUCCUAUAAGAGUUAGAUAUUCAGCUCUUAGAGAAAAGUAGUCAUCAGUUUUCUUUUCCAGAACGGAUUCAUGUUCUCUCUUCAUCUUUGUCAUCAUAUUAUUAAAAUAGUCCACCAUUUCCUCGCGUGACAUGUGUUUCAAUGUGGC